rnacentral:misc_RNA from 1 species
GAUGAAGUACGUAGCGAAAUGCGAUAAGUAAUGUGAAUUGCAGAAUUCAGUGAAUCAUCGAAUCUUUGAACGCACAUUGCGCCCGUCAGUAUUCUGGCGGGCAUGCCUGUUCGAGCGUCAUUACGCCCCUCAAGUCCCCUGUGGACUUGGUGUUGGGGAUCGGCGAGGCUGGUUUUCCAGCACAGCCGUCCCUUAAAUUAAUUGGCGGUCUCGCCGUGGCCCUCCUCUGCGCAGUAGUAAAACACUCGCAACAGGAGCCCGGCGCGGUCCACUGCCGUAAAACCCCCCAACUUUUUAUAGUUGACCUCGAAUCAGGUAGGACUACCCGCUGAACUUAAGCAUAUCAAUAAGCGGAGGA